GCACUCAUUUCAGCUGGUUAGAGCCUGGUGCUGAUAACGCCAAGGUUGCAGGUUCAAUCCCUGUGUGGGACA